ACACUAUAUGAGCAGCUUCUCCUUGAAGCUCUCCUUGAUCGAGGAGGUGUAAGGCUUCGAGAAGCAGAACGAUAACGGAGUCUUCUAUAUCUAGAGUUAUAUAGCGAAUAUGACCUAUCACGUGACAUUCUAUAGUACCGAUCAUCAGGUGAGUAAGAACGGUCCCGCCUUCUAUAGUAUCGAUCCUCAGGAGAGUAAGAACGAUCCCGUCUGCAGUGGUAACGAUCAUCGGGAGAGUAAAACCUAUCACGCCUUCUAUAGUAUCUAUCAUCAGGAGAGUAAGAACGGUCCCGUCUAUGAUAAUAACAAUCAUAAGGAGAGUAGGACUGAUCACGCCUUCGAUAGUAUCGAUCUUCAGGAGAGUAGGAACAGUAACGAUAAUUCUUUCUAUAAUAGCGGUCAUCAGGUGAUCUACUAUACUGGGAAUGAGCACGUGAAUAAGACCUAUACUGGGGGGAGUAAGACCUGCUCCUACUCCUACUCCUACUCCUAUCAGAUGAAUAACA
rnacentral:lncRNA from 1 species